UGUCAUUCCCGGUGUCGUUAUUCCCGUUCCCAGCCGUCUCUCCCGGCGCUGUUGGUGACGGCCGGGAAGGAUCCGGUGCUGGCGCCCGCCCUCAGCCACGGCAUGGAGAGAUGGGUGCCGCGGCUGCAGCGGAGGCACAUCCAGGACUGCGGCCACUGGACCCAGCUGGAGAGGCCGGCCGAGGUGAACCGGAUCCUUCUGGAAUGGCUGGAGCAGCUCCCCCCGGAUCCUCCUUUUCCCGGGAAUUCCAAGCUUUGAGCGGGAAUUUCCCCCUUUGGAAUUUCCUUUGGGAAUUUUUCCCUUUGG